CUGAAGCAACAAAUGCCCUGCUUCCAGGAAAAGCCUCUAAGCAUCAGGUAACAUCAAAUCGUACCCCAAACCGACACAGGUGGUCAGGUAGAGAAUACCAAGGCGCUUGAGAGAACUCGGGUGAAGGAACUAGGCAAAAUGGUGCCGUAACUUCGGGAGAAGGCACGCUGAUAUGUAGGUGAAGUCCCUCGCGGAUGGAGCUGAAAUCAGUCGAAGAUACCAGCUGGCUGCAACUGUUUAUUAAAAACACAGCACUGUGCAAACACGAAAGUGGACGUAUACGGUGUGACGCCUGCCCGGUGCCGGAAGGUUAAUUGAUGGGGUCAGCGCAAGCGAAGCUCUUGAUCGAAGCCCCGGUAAACGGCGGCCGUAACUAUAACGGUCCUAAGGUAGCGAAAUUCCUUGUCGGGUAAGUUCCGACCUGCACGAAUGGCGUAAUGAUGGCCAGGCUGUCUCCACCCGAGACUCAGUGAAAUUGAACUCGCUGUGAAGAUGCAGUGUACCCGCGGCAAGACGGAAAGACCCCGUGAACCUUUACUAUAGCUUGACACUGAACAUUGAGCCUUGAUGUGUAGGAUAGGUGGGAGGCUUUGAAGUGUGGACGCCAGUCUGCAUGGAGCCGACCUUGAAAUACCACCCUUUAAUGUUUGAUGUUCUAACGUGGACCCGUGAUCCGGGUUGCGGACAGUGUCUGGUGGGUAGUUUGACUGGGGCGGUCUCCUCCUAAAGAGUAACGGAGGAGCACGAAGGUUGGCUAAUCCUGGUCGGACAUCAGGAGGUUAGUGCAAUGGCAUAAGCCAGCUUGACUGCGAGCGUGACGGCGCGAGCAGGUGCGAAAGCAGGUCAUAGUGAUCCGGUGGUUCUGAAUGGAAGGGCCAUCGCUCAACGGAUAAAAGGUACUCCGGGGAUAACAGGCUGAUACCGCCCAAGAGUUCAUAUCGACGGCGGUGUUUGGCACCUCGAUGUCGGCUCAUCACAUCCUGGGGCUGAAGUAGGUCCCAAGGGUAUGGCUGUUCGCCAUUUAAAGUGGUACGCGAGCUGGGUUUAGAACGUCGUGAGACAGUUCGGUCCCUAUCUGCCGUGGGCGCUGGAGAACUGAGGGGGGCUGCUCCUAGUACGAGAGGACCGGAGUGGACGCAUCACUGGUGUUCGGGUUGUCAUGCCAAUGGCACUGCCCGGUAGCUAAAUGCGGAAGAGAUAAGUGCUGAAAGCAUCUAAGCACGAAACUUGCCCCGAGAUGAGUUCUCCCUGACCCUUUAAGGGUCCUGAAGGAACGUUGAAGACGACGACGUUGAUAGGCCGGGUGUGUAAGCGCAGCGAUGCGUUGAGCUAACCGGUACUAAUGAACCGUGAGGCUUAACCUUACAACGCCGAAGGUGUUU
rnacentral:rRNA from 1 species